rnacentral:rRNA from 1 species
UCAAAAACAUGUCUUUUUGAAAAUAAUUUAAAGUCUAAUCUGCCCACUGAUAUAAUUAUUAAAGGGCUGCAGUAUAUUGACUGUACAAAGGUAGCAUAAUCAUUAGUCUUUUAAUUGAAGACUUGUAUGAAAGAUUUGAUGAAAUAUAUACUGUCUCUAAUUUAUGAAUAAAAAUUAAUUUUUUAGUUAAAAAGCUAAAAUAAUAUUAAAAGACGAGAAGACCCUAUAAAGUUUUAUAAUUUAUUUAUUUAAUAUUAAUUAUAUAAAUAAAUAUAAUAAUUAAUUUAAAUUAUUUUAUUGGGGUGAUAAAAAAAUUUAAUUAACUUUUUUUAAAAAAUAAACAUAAAUAAGUGUGAUAAUGAUCCAUUAUUAAUGAUUAAAAGAAAAAAUUACUUUAGGGAUAACAGCGUAAUAUUUUUUUUUAGUACAAAUAAAAAAAAAAGUUUGCGACCUCGAUGUUGGAUUAAGAUAAAAUUUAAGUGCAAAAGUUUAAAAUUUUGAUCUGUUCGAUCAUUAAAAUCUUACAUGAUCUGAGCU